UACGAAGGACCCAAGCGUUAUCCGGAUUUAUUGGGUUUAAAGGGUGCGUAGGCGGGUUGUUAAGUCAGUGGUGAAAGCUCCGAGCCUAACUCGGAAACUGCCAUUGAUACUGACGAUCUUGAGUACAUUUGAGGUGGGCGGAAUGUGUCAUGUAGCGGUGAAAUGCUUAGAUAUGACACAGAACACCGAUUGCGAAGGCAGCUCACUAAACUGUAACUGACGCUGAGGCACGAAAGCGUGGGGAGCAAACAGG
rnacentral:rRNA from 1 species